CUUGGCUUUGUUUUGCCGAAAAUUGAAGAACAAAGAACACCUUUGGUGUUUUAAACAUUCGGCAGUUAGGAAGCUAAAAUUUGAUCAAUAAUUAAAGAAGUCGAAUUUGGAUCGGGGAAAAACAAAAGUAGUCGAAUAGUCGAACGUCUCCGUCUAUAUCCGAGACUUAAGAUCAAGCUUCAAGCUCGGGGAUCGUCAGCAAGUUCAUCACUCUAUCUGCUGUCUCGUAAUGGAUCCCGAUUGAGCUGUAGCUGAUGACGUUGAAAGUAUAGCGCCUGCUCCUGCGCAAGGGGCAGUGCCAGUUGAUUCUCGGCCUACCUCAAGUAGCCAAGAGGGGAAGGCAAAGCAAGCCUUCUACCAAAUGAUGAACCUUGGUAUUUCUGCAAUUUAGCCAGGUAGUACCUUGGUAUUUCUGCAAUUUAACCAGGUAAGUUCAUAUGAACUAUAUUCUGUAUAAUCUUGAUUAAAGUGAAUUUGAUAUUGAAAGUAAAUUUUGAAAUGAAAGUGAGUUUGAAUGAAGAUUUGGAAACCUUAUUAACUAGUCGAGUUGAGUCGAAUAUAAUUGACAUGUCAUAGGAUUGGAAGAGUACGGGAAUUUAUCGGCUUUGCCAAUCAGUCACUAUAUGUGUCGUAUUAGGCACCACGUGUGUCGUUUCAGGCACUUUAUGUGUCGUAUACUGCUUCUGAUAUAUUGAUCAGGUACAAAGUACCGUUUUAGGCACAAUGUGCUGUACUGGUGUGUUUGGUUGGAAUCCGUGUAUUCGCCAAGGUCCGGGUUUAUGAAUAGGGUGAAUAAGCAAAAUGUGAGAAUUGAAUAAAUUUGAUUGAUCGUACGACUGAAAGUAUAAGGAAGAAAUUGUUAGUCAAAUUGUGAGAUUUGAAAGCAUGAACCUAAGGUUCAUGAAUUGAUCA